GAUGAACGCUGGCGGCGUGCCUAAUACAUGCAAGUCGAACGAAGAUCUAGCUUGCUAGAUCUUAGUGGCGAACGGGUGAGUAAUACAUAAAUAAUCUGCCCAUAUGACUGGGAUAACUAUUGGAAACGAUAGCUAAUACCGGAUAGGUUGAUCGGAGGCAUCUCUGAUGAAUUAAAGUAGGAUUUCUACACAAAUGGAUGAGUUUAUGGCGCAUUAGUUAGUCGGUGGGGUAACGGCCUACCGAGACGAUGAUGCGUAGCCGACCUGAGAGGGUGACCGGCCACACUGGGACUGAGACACGGCCCAGACUCCUACGGGAGGCAGCAGUAGGGAAUUUUCGGCAAUGGGCGCAAGCCUGACCGGGCAACGCCGCGUGAGUGAUUAAGGCCUUCGGGUUGUAAAGCUCUGUUGUAAGGGAAGAACAUUCAGGAUAGGAAAUGAUCUUGAACUGACGGUACCUUACCAGAAAGCCACGGCUAACUACGUGCCAGCAGCCGCCGUAA
rnacentral:rRNA from 1 species